CCUACGGGGGGCUGCAGUGGGGAAUAUUGCACAAUGGGCGCAAGCCUGAUGCAGCCAUGCCGCGUGUGUGAAGAAGGCCUUCGGGUUGUAAAGCACUUUCAGCGGGGAGGAAGGCGGUGAGGUUAAUAACCUCAUCGAUUGACGUUACCCGCAGAAGAAGCACCGGCUAACUCCGUGCCAGCAGCCGCGGUAAUACGGAGGGUGCAAGCGUUAAUCGGAAUUACUGGGCGUAAAGCGCACGCAGGCGGUCUGUCAAGUCGGAUGUGAAAUCCCCGGGCUCAACCUGGGAACUGCAUUCGAAACUGGCAGGCUAGAGUCUUGUAGAGGGGGGUAGAAUUCCAGGCGUAGCGGUGAAAUGCGUAGAGAUCUGGAGGAAUACCGGUGGCGAAGGCGGCCCCCUGGACAAAGACUGACGCUCAGGUGCGAAAGCGUGGGGAGCAAACAGGAUUAGAUACCCGUGUAGUC
rnacentral:rRNA from 1 species